rnacentral:rRNA from 1 species
AUUGAACGCUGGCGGCAUGCCUUACACAUGCAAGUCGAACGGCAGCACGGGUGCUUGCACCUGGUGGCGAGUGGCGAACGGGUGAGUAAUAUAUCGGAACGUACCUUAUUGUGGGGGAUAACGCAGCGAAAGCUGUGCUAAUACCGCAUAAUCCCUAAGGGGGAAAGCGGGGGACCGUAAGGCCUCGCGCAAUUAGAGCGGCCGAUACCUGAUUAGCUAGUUGAUGGGGUAAAGGCUAACCAGGGCAACGAUCAGUAGCUGGUCUGAGAGGACGAUCAGCCACACUGGGACUGAGACACGGCCCAGACUCCUACGGGAGGCAGCAGUGGGGAAUUUUGGACAAUGGGGGCAACCCUGAUCCAGCAAUGCCGCGUGAGUGAAGAAGGCCUUCGGGUUGUAAAGCUCUUUUGUCAGGGAAGAAACAGCAGCUCUAACACAGUUUGCGAAUGACGGUACCUGAAGAAUAAGCACCGGCUAACUACGUGCCAGCAGCCGCCGCGG